rnacentral:rRNA from 1 species
GAAUUCACUAGUGAUUCGCGGCCUAUCAGCUUGUUGGUGGGGUGAUGGCGUACCAAGGCGACGACGGGUAGCCGGCCUGAGAGGGCGACCGGCCACACUGGGACUGAGACACGGCCCAGACUCCUACGGGAGGCAGCAGUGGGGAAUAUUGCACAAUGGGCGGAAGCUUGAUGCAGGGAUGCCGCGUGAGGGAUGACGGCCUUCGGGUUGUAAACCUCUUUCAGCAGGGACGAAGCGGCUGGGUUUUCUCAGUCGUGACGGUACCUGCAGAAGAAGCGCCGGCCAACUACGUGCCAGCAGCCGCGGUAAGACGUAGGGCGCGAGCGUUGCCCGGAUUUAUUGGGCGUAAAGAGCUCGUAGGCGGCUUGUCGCGUCGUUCGUGAAAACCUGGGGCUCAACUCCAGGCUUGCGGUCGAUACGGGCAGGCUUGAUUUCGGUAGGGGAGACUGGAAUUUUUGGUGUAGCGGAGAAAUGCGCAGAUAUCAGGAGGAACACCGGUGGAGAAGGCGGGUCUGUGGCCCGAUAUUGACGAUGAGGAGAGAAAGCGCGGGGAGCGAACAGGAUUAGAUACCCUGGUAGUCCACGCUGUAAACGUUGGGCGCUAGGUGUGGGGGGCCUCUCCGGUUCUCUGCGCCGCAGCUAACGCAUUAAGCGCCCCGCCUGGGGAGUACGG